UACAGAGGGCUCAAGCGUUGUUCGGAUUCAUUGGGCGUAAAGGGUGCGUAGGCGGCGCGGUAAGUCGGGUGUGAAAUCUCGGAGCUUAACUCCGAAACUGCAUUCGAUACUGCCGUGCUUGGGGACUGGAGAGGAGACUGGAAUUUACGGUGUAGCGGUGAAAUGCGUAGAUAUCGGGAGGAACACCAGUGGCGAAGGCGAGUCGCUGGACAAUUCCUGACGCUGAGGCACGAAAGCUAGGGGAGCAAACAGG
rnacentral:rRNA from 1 species